GUUGUUGUAGUAUAGUGGUGAGUAUUCUUGCUUUUUAUGCGGGUAACCUGAGUUCAAUCCUCGGCAAUGGUG
rnacentral:tRNA from 1 species